UACGGGGGGAGCAAGCGUUGUUCGGAUUUACUGGGCGUAAAGGGCGCGUAGGCGGCCACCGCAAGUCAGUUGUGAAAGCUCUGGGCUUAACCCAGAAAGGUCAGCUGAUACUGCGGGGCUAGAGUGCAGAAGGGGCAACUGGAAUUCUCGGUGUAGCGGUGAAAUGCGUAGAUAUGCGGAGGAACACCGAUGGCGAAGGCAAUCCCCUGGGCCUGCACUGACGCUCAUGCACGAAAGCGUGGGGAGCAAACAGG
rnacentral:rRNA from 1 species